AUACGGAGGAUCCGAGCGUUAUCCGGAUUUAUUGGGUUUAAAGGGUGCGCAGGCGGGAGAUUAAGUCGGCGGUGAAAUUUUGCAGCUCAACUGUAAAAGUGCGUUCGAUACUGGUUUUCUUGAGUGUGGAUGAAGUAGGCGGAAUUUGUGGUGUAGCGGUGAAAUGCAUAGAUAUCACGAGGAACUCCGAUUGCGCAGGCAGCUUACUAGGCCAUAACUGACGCUCAGGCACGAAGGCGUGGGGAUCAAACAGGAUUAGAUACCCUGGUAGUCCACGCAGUAAACGAUGAUUACUCGCUGUUUGCGAUACACAGUAAGCGGCUUAGCGAAAGCGUUAAGUAAUCCACCUGGGGAGUACGUUCGCAAGAAUGAGACUCAAAUGAAUUGACGGG
rnacentral:rRNA from 1 species